rnacentral:rRNA from 1 species
AACGCGAAGAACCUUACCAUCCCUAUACAUUUCAGGAACCUUGCUGAGAGGAGAGUGUCCCUUCGGGAGCCAGAACACAGGUGCUGCAUGGCUGUCCUCAGCUCGUGUCGUGAGAUGUUGGGUUAAGUCCCGCAACGAGCGCAACCCUUGUCACUAGUUGCCAUCAUUUGGUUGGGCACUCUAGUGAGACUGCCGGUGACAAACCGGAGGAAGGUGGGGAUGACGUCAAGUCCUCAUGGCCCUUAUGGGUAGGGCUUCACACAUCAUACAAUGGUCGGUACAGAGGGUUGCCAAACCGCGAGGUGGAGCCAAUCCCUUAAAGCCGAUCGUAGUCCGGAUCGUAGUCUGCAACUCGACUACGUGAAGUCGGAAUCGCUAGUAAUCGCAGAUCAGCAUGCUGGGGUGAAUACCUUCCCGGGUCUUGUACACACCG